rnacentral:rRNA from 1 species
CAGAUGCUAAUACCGCAUAAAACCUAACACCGCAUGGUGUAAGGGUUGAAAGAUGGUUUCGGCUAUCACUUUAGGGAUAGGACCCGCGGUGCAUUAGUUAGUUGGUGAGGUAAAGGCUCACCAAGACCGUGAUGCAUAGCCGACCUGAGAGGGUAAUCGGCCACACUGGGACUUGAGACACGGCCCAGACUCCUACGGAGGCAGCAGUAGGGAAUCUUCCACAAUGGACGAAAGUCUGAUGGAGCAACGCCGCGUGAGUGAAGAAGGUUUCGGAUCGUAAACUCUGUUGUUGGAGAAGAAUGUAUCUGAUAGUAACUGAUCAGGUAGUGACGGUAUCCAACCAGAAAGCCACGGCUAACUACGUG